UGGGGAAUUUUGCACAAUGGGGGAAACCCUGAUGCAGCGACGCCGCGUGAUUUAGAAGGCCUUCGGGUUGUAAAAAUCUUUUCUAUGGGAAGAAAAUGACAGUACCAUAGGAAUAAGGACCGGCUAAUUACGUGCCAGCAGCCGCGGUAAUACGUAAGGUCCGAGCGUUGUCCGGAAUCAUUGGGCGUAAAGGGUACGUAGGCGGGUAAGCAAGUUAGAAGUGAAAUCCUGUAGCUCAACUACAGUAAGCUUUUAAAACUGCUCAUCUUGAGAUAUGGAAGGGAAAGUGGAAUUCCUAGUGUAGCGGUGAAAUGCGCAGAUAUUAGGAGGAAUACCGGUGGCGAAGGCGACUUUCUGGCCAUAAUCUGACGCUGGGGUACGAAAGCGUGGGUAGCAAACAGG
rnacentral:rRNA from 2 species